rnacentral:rRNA from 1 species
GACGAACGCUGGCGGCGUGCUUAACACAUGCAAGUCGAACGGAAAGGCCCCUUUGGGGGUACUCGAGUGGCGUACGGGUGAGUAACACGUGAGUAACCUGCCCCUUACUUCGGGAUAACUCCAGGAAACUGGGGCUAAUACCGGAUAGGAAUCCUUGCUGCAUGGUGGGGGUUGGAAAGCUUCGGCGGUUUCGGCUGGACUCGCGGCUUAUCAGCUUGUUGGUGGGGUAGUGGCUUACCAAGGCUUUGACGGGUAGCCGGCCUGAGAGGGUGACCGGCCACAUUGGGGCUGAGAGAAGGCCCAGACUCCGACUGGAGGCAGUGGUGGGGAGUAUUGCACGCUGGGCGGAAGCCUGAUGCGGCGCCGCCGAGGGCGGGAUGGCGGCCUGAGAGUUGUAAACCGCUUUCAGCAGGGGCGGAGAUUGUGGUGACGGUACCUGGAGAAGAAGCACCGGCUAACUACGUG